CAUUGCAUGAUGUUGAGGAACCAGAUUCACACAAAGAGAUCAAAGUUGAUGAGACAUAUGAUUAUCUCCCACAAGACUAUACAUUGACCGACCAUGAUCUAUGUGCUCAUAUAGCAAUAGAAUCAUCUUUGAGAAAACAAUUGCUGGUUCAGAUAGAUGGAAGUUCUGUCUUGCAACAUCAAUUGAUGUGCCUGCUAGAUGAAAAAGAGUGGGUAAAUGAUGAUGUGAUCAAUGCAUAUAUAUGUUGUAUAAAUGACCAAAUACAUCUUCAGAAUGAUAAUAAAGUAUAUUUU